CCGGAUGGAACGCCGAAUCCUGCCGCCGUCCGGGAAUCCGCAACCCACUCACGUACGGCAGGAGCGGGGGAACCAGGUAAGCCGCCGGUCCGGUAUCCGGAACGGCUAGGGGUGAAGUCGCAUGCCAUGCGGCCAGACAUCUCCCGUCUGAACCCGACAGCUCACCUCGUAGGCGCCGGAGAGGAAAUUC
rnacentral:sRNA from 2 species